UGUGAGAAUGAGUACUGCACAGAAUAUACAAUAUUCCCUUCUACAUGUCCAUGGAGUAUGAAAACCUCAAGAAAUUCUUCGUCCUCAAUCCCAUCAAGGGAGGUACUUUAGAGGAGAUUAUGAAGCUUUUGUGGACAGACAUGGACCACGGGAAGGAACUAAUGCCUUACAUAGAGCCACUCCCUAACCACAAGGAGCCUGGGCAGACUGUGUUGAUGGUGUCCAUGGGCUACACGCGGGAAAGGAUCCAGGACUCAGAGAUGGGCCAGAAGAAUGAUGAAGUGAUAGUAAUCUAUGUGCUUCUGCCCUAUAAGAGAUCUGAGCUGGUGGGCUACGCCAUCACCCUGAAGGCCCAGGCUUUGGCUGAUCCCACUAACAGCUGCCCUUUAUACUCAUCCUGCAAGGUACGGCAUCACGUCUCUGCCAACCCAAAGCAGUGGAAUUUUAAUGAGCCUGCCACUUCCUCCUUUACUUCCUACUCUGAGAAUAGUCAGAGCUGCAAGACAGAAAAAUCAGUGGCUUGAGGAGGACCAGGAGUUAGGACUGAAGGCUAGCAGCUCAGCCAAAGCAUCUGCUAGUCUCCUACCUGGCCUAGAGAGGAAGACCACCCCAGCACAGCCCCUAGUGUGGCCCUGUAGCCUCCCCAGCACCCACACACCAGAAGCAGUGAUGGAGUCCCAGAUGGAAUCAGCUUCCCCCCGGUUGUAUCCUCCAAACGAAACACCUUCCACAUUGGCAGUUGAGAUAGAUGCCUGACCACCAGAAUUUGUCUGACGGUGUGACCCCAUCCUCUCCCUCUGGCUACAGCCGGG